AUCUAUUUAGUAUACAAGUAUAUUUGACUUCCAAUCAAAAGGUUUGAACUAUCUCAAAAUAGAUA
rnacentral:tRNA from 1 species